GACGAACGCUGGCGGCGUGCCUAAUACAUGCAAGUUGAGCGAUGAAGAUUGGUGCUUGCCCCAAUUUGAAGAGCAGCGAACGGGUGAGUAACGCGUGGGGAAUCUGCCUUUGAGCGGGGGACAACAUUUGGAAACGAAUGCUAAUACCGCAUAACAACUUUAAACAUAAGUUUUAAGUUUGAAAGAUGCAAUUGCAUCACUCAAAGAUGAUCCCGCGUUGUAUUAGCUAGUUGGUGAGGUAAAGGCUCACCAAGGCGAUGAUACAUAGCCGACCUGAGAGGGUGAACGGCCAAAAUGGGACUGAGACACGGCCCAAACUCCUACGGGAGGGAGCAGUAGGGAAUCUUCGGCAAUGGACGAAAGUCUGACCGAGCAACGCCGCGUGAGUGAAGAAGGUUUUCGGAUCGGAAAACUCUGUUGGUAGAGAAGAACGUUGGUGAGAGUGGAAAGCUCAUCAAGUGACGGUAACUACCCAGAAAGGGACGGCUAACUACGUG
rnacentral:rRNA from 1 species